UUCAGAAACAGUUUGUUGACCUUACACCAGUCUGUUAGACUCAAUGUUCUUGAACAGCAUUGGACUGAGCACACAGCCCUGAGGAGCUCCAGUACUCAGUGUGGUGGUGCUGGAGAUGCUGUUCCCGAUCCAGACAAGAUGAAGUCCAAGAUCCAGUUGCAGAGGUGGAGGUCUUCAUAACAAGCAGAUUCAGCUUCUUGAUCAGGUGCUGAGGAAUGAUGGUGUUCAAUGCUGAACUCAAGUCUAUGAACAGCAUUGAUGCGUAUGUGUCCUUAUUGUCCAGGUGAGUGAGGUCAGAUGCAGGGUGGUGGCGAUGGAAUCGUCCAGGCCUGGAUGCCCUGCCCCAUGCACCAUGGAGGUCCUGGAAGUGACUGUGGAUUUUCUGCCCAUGUGCAUGCUUUGCUACUCUAAUAGCUUGAGACAGUUUGUCAGGAUCUGGUCCUGAAGGGGCUACUCCAUGGUCCAGAGUUUAAUGUUUUUUCUGAUUGUUUUCACCUGUGUCUGCCUGUAUAAAGCUGCCCUGUUUGUGUCUGUUCACUGUCGGGUCAUUGUUACUUGAUGUUUCCCCUGUCUUGUCCACCAUGUCUUGUGAUGUUGUGCAUAUGCAUCUUUCUUCCUCGCCACAGUUUGGCCCUUGCUGAUCUUAUGGCCAGCAUGUAACCCUGUAUGAAUGCAGCUAACAUACCUCUCCUGUAAUCCACAGCUUCUUAUUUGGUCUUGUGGUAAUGGACUAGAAGACUGUAACGUCAUCAGUGCACUUUGCUCAUAUAGCUGUUCACUGAUGUUGUGUACUCCUCCAAAUUGAUGAUGUUGUUGUCUUUGGCUGCAGCCUCCCUGAACAGUACAAAAGUAGAAAUAGCUCCUGGUCAGGUUCUCACCUGCAUUUCCCUCGGGCACAAGCAUCUGGCGACACCAGGGCCUGGAGACCUGCUCUCCGCAGCAGUCCAAGCAUGCAUAGAUCUUUUCGGCGACUAUCACAAAAGAAGAGGUCCUCGGAACGAUUCUGAAACUCACUGUUCGCCAUGGAUUUGA
rnacentral:lncRNA from 1 species